UCCCUGUCUGUGUUUUUAGUUCCGUUCCAUGGUUUCGUUUUCGCCUCCUCUCGUUUCAGUUUCCACACCUGCCCAUCGUUUCUAGUAUUAAGUUCGUGUAUUUAAACCCUGUCUGGAUCCGAGUGUUUUGUGGUUCAUUUGAUUGGUUGUGUUUUUGCGAUUGCGUUGGUUUGUACUCCGUGUUUCUUAGCCCUGAGUUUUCCUUAGUCUUAGCUUGCUUCCGCUGUUUGCCUCCGUGUGUUUGUUUUGUUAUCAUGUAUCCUCGUACUCUCCAUGUCGGCUCUAUGACCCUGGACUGCCUUAACGACUCUGAUUUUGGAUUUGCCCAUAAUAAAUCUCGCUCAUCUCUGUUCAUUACUCUAAUCAACUGAUAACAAAAGAAAUCAGCUCCGCGCUGGUGUCUGACUGUCUGAAGCAGGCGUUCAUCUCAGGGCGAUGCUGUCACUCAGAAAGCAUCCUCCUCUGUGUUUGCUCUUUCUGCUUGUCAUGCCAGCUUUGCUACAGAAACCCUCCGAUUCCGAAUGGGAUAUAUGGAGAAAACGCUGCUGGUAUCAGCGGAAAUCGGUGUCGUUAGCCAGAGUUGAGCUUGUCGUGUUACCGGGCAGCCAGGACUCGGAAGGGGGAGUGAAAGAGGGAACUGAUGUGAGUUUGAGGUGUUCACUGAUCCGCUGCAGAUUUCUGGAAGAAAUGGCGGACAGAUUCCUCUGGUUCCAAAAUGGCUUACGUUUACCCUACACCACCAGCCAAAUCCAGCUGGCCUCCGUCAGCGGCCAGGAUUCUGGCACCUACACCUGCGGUGUAACAGGAUAUGUUGAAACCUCUCUUCCUGUCACUCUCAAUGUCAGAUGUAAGAACACA
ensembl:lncRNA